rnacentral:rRNA from 1 species
CCUACGGGUGGCAGCAGUGGGGAAUAUUGGACAAUGGGCGAAAGCCUGAUCCAGCCAUGCCGCGUGUGUGAAGAAGGCCUUCGGGUUGUAAAGCACUUUCAGUGGGGAAGAAAGCCUUGGGGCUAAUACCCUCGAGGAAGGACAUCACCCACAGAAGAAGCACCGGCUAACUCCGUGCCAGCAGCCGCGGUAAUACGGAGGGUGCGAGCGUUAAUCGGAAUUACUGGGCGUAAAGCGCGCGUAGGCGGUCUGAUAAGCCGGUUGUGAAAGCCCCGGGCUCAACCUGGGAACGGCAUCCGGAACUGUCAGGCUAGAGUGCAGGAGAGGAAGGUAGAAUUCCCGGUGUAGCGGUGAAAUGCGUAGAGAUCGGGAGGAAUACCAGUGGCGAAGGCGGCCUUCUGGACUGACACCGACGCUGAGGUGCGAAAGCGUGGGUAGCAAACAGGAUUAGAUACCCGUGUAGUC